rnacentral:lncRNA from 1 species
CUACUUUGUAAAAUUUAUAUUUUGACCCCAAAAUUUUCUUUAAAUUACACUUUGACCCCUAAUAUUUCGUAAAUUACAGUCAGGCCCCUAAACUUUCCAGAAAUUACAUUUUUGCCCUAUAUUUUCCUAGAAUCGCAUUUUUGCCCCAGAAAUUUUGCACCCAUUACGAUUUAGUCCUUCUGGGCAUGACAAGACUGCCCCCAACCAGCAUUCUUGCGUGCCCCGCUCGCCACGCCUGCCACCCCAAUGCAUGGCCUCCCUCCUCCUCUGCCACCUGAAAAGAAAGAGAAAGAAACAAAAAUUGAUGGAUUUAAAAAGAGGAAUAUGAGAGAAAGAGGGGGAUUUUCGGAUAGGAACCCCCCCCAAAAAAAAAAAAAGAAGCAGAGAAAACUCAAAAAAAAAAAUAAAAACAGCAGUAAGUAAAAAGCCAUCACCACCGCCGCACCACCACCGUCACCGUCACCACCUGAAAAGCCGCAAUCAAUCAAAAAGGAAAGCAAAGCAAAAAAAGUAGCAGCAAAAAAAAAAAAAACGAAAGAACAACUUCAAAAAUCCGGCCGCUCCUUCGCCACCACCGUGCUCACCGCCGCGCCCUUGCAUUCCCACCCCCGUCGCACCUACACAAGCAAGCAAAAAAAGAAAACAAAAAAACAGCAAGUAAAACGAGAAAGAAAACAGCAGCCCAAACAGUAAAGAAGAAAGAAAAGAAGAAAAGAAAGAUAGGAAAAGGAAAAAGAAAUAAAAAAAACAGCAGCCCAUUUUUGGCAGUCCAGCAGCAGUCCAGCAGCAGUCCACCAGCAGCAGCCCACCAGCAGUGGCCCACCCUUGCAGCUCCAAUCCAGCAGCAGGCCCAGCGCAGCAGUUCAGCAGAUUCGGCCCAUUUCAACAGCUCCAGUCCAGCAGGUUCAGCCCAACAGCAGCAGGCCACUGCCCAACAGGCCACUGCCCAG